rnacentral:tRNA from 1 species
GAGGGUAUAGCUCAGUGGUAGAGUGCUUGCUUAAUACGCAAGGUCCUGGGUUCAAUCCCCAGUCCCGCCA